rnacentral:lncRNA from 1 species
UUUAGGUCUGAAAAAAUGCUACUUUAUCUAAAUUUGUGAUUCAUUACAACAUAGGACUUUUGAAAUCCUACGUAAUAUCUCUUUUCAGUCUUUGCAUCAGAUAACACAAAUUUUGUCAAAGACUAUUGUACUUUUGCCUGAACAAGUGAAACCAGCUUGUCUACUCAAAGCAAGGUAGUGAACACUGGAAAGCCUGAGGAGGCGUUUGCAUCAAAUGAGUCAUUCCAGAAUGAUGUCAUUGUUGUUUAUGGAGAAACUUAGAAUAAGGUUUGAGGUCAUCUGACCCAGACUUUCAAAGGUAUAUAAGCAGUUGAUCUCACUAAUUUUAGUGGAAGUUGAACACUGUGCCCUUUGUGUUCUGUCAAUCAUGUAUCGCCAAAAGGUCUGUGGGGAUACCAAGUGCUAGGAACUACUCUAAUAAACCAGAAGUGUCUGCCAUAAUGUUAUAAUUUUAUACUGUGAUGUCCUUCAGUUGUCCUCAGCUGAAACCUGAGCUGUCACACUGAGGUGCAGAAGACAAAAGAAAGAAGACAAGGCUUCUCUUCCAAGAUGAUGUUCUAACUGCAGUACUCUGUGGGUGAUCAUUUACUGAGACUCCAAGUGACUUCUCACACCAGAAGAGUAGCAAAAACCCUUAUUAUCUGGGACUGUAUUUCGUUAUCAUAUACCUUCUUGAGACCUCAUACUACAGCGAGGGCAUCUGAAAACAAAACACCAGCAACCUUUUCAGGUUUGUGAAUAACAUUAUUCACUUCUUCUAAACACAGGGCUCCACUAAUCUGUCCUUAUAAGCUAACAAGAGUU